rnacentral:rRNA from 1 species
GACAAACGCUGGCGGCGUGCUUAACACAUGCAAGUCGAACGGUCCCUUUCUUAUGAGGGGGAUAGUGGCGGACGGGUGAGUAACACGUAGACGACCUGCCUCGAAGUGGGGAAUAACGUCCUGAAAGGGACGCUAAUACCGCAUAAGCUCUCUAUCGUGGGGUAGAGAGGAAACUUUCGUAAGAGAGGCUUUGAGAGGGGUCUGCGGCGGAUUAGCUAGUUGGGUAGGUAACGGCUGCCCAAGGCGACGAUCCGUAGCUGGUCUGAGAGGACGGCCAGCCACACUGGGACUGAGACACGGCCCAGACUCCUACGGGAGGCAGCAGUGAGGAAUAUUCCACAAUGGCGCAAGCCUGAUGGAGCGACGCCGCGUGAGGGAAGACGCCUUUCGGGGUGUAAACCUCUUUUAUGGAGGAUGACACGCCCCACUGUAGCGAUACAUGGGCUAGGACAGUACUCCGUGAAUAAGCCUCGGCUAACU